CGUCACGAUGGCUCCAAGAAAGAGUAAAAUGUGAUGCAUUCAAAGUCCCUGCUAGUCAAAAAGCUUCCACUUACAGGAAGAGAGAAGAAGAUGGAAAAGGAAGAAUAAAAAGUCUGAGGGGAAUGUCCUGUCCUCUUUAAAAAUGAAACACGCUACCAGGUGAGAAGGGCAGAAACACCGAGAGACUGACCUCUGUUCAAGUUUUCAAGUGGAAGAAGGAGUGCAUAAUGUGAACCAAUGUCACAAAUUCCAUUUUGAUUAUUUGGAUGGUCAAAGUCCUGCAGAUCACUGAAAUACCUUGUAAGUUGGAGAAAGAGAUAGGAGAAAUGGCAACAUGGAAUCAAGGACUGCAGGAACUAGAGGAAUGAACCCAGAGAAGGACGAGUCCAGCUACCCUCCAGCAGGGGUCCUGAUUAGGAUCCCACCAUAUGGAAUCCUGAGGAGAAGAGGUAAAUACCCCACAAAAACCAAGGUGCUGGUAAGAAGGAGAAUGGACCCUGUGGAGUCAAACUCUCAUGAAUGUCCAUCACAUGAAGAGUAACCUGUACCUUCAAGUUACAUUCACACAAUCUUGUAUCUUGCUCAUUUAAUUUCUUCUCAUAUAUUAAUUAGCUGGAUUUUUGUUGGCUUUCUACCUCAAGGUUGGUUAACAGCCCAGUAUUAUUGGUUUUGCAUGGCUCACUAAGAACUCACAUCUCAGAGUGAAAAGACACUCUUUGGAAUCUGAAGUCAAACACCAACCACUCCAUUCACCUAGCUAUGUGAUCUUGGGUAAAUCACUUAGUUUUUCUAAGCCUCAGUUUCCUAGUUU